UUGGGCUACAUAAAGGGUCUAGCCAUUUCUUCCCUGCAUACCCAGUUGAGCUUUUUGAACCUAGACUGGAAUCCUAAGUUCAUAUGAUUCGUUUGUGAACUUUUGGAAUAAUUUUUAUAUUGCUAGUAGAUUGACUUCAUUUUAAUUUUUUCCUGUUGUAGAAAUCAAAGAGUUGCUUUCAUCUUAUUUCUUUUAUCUUCUUUUAGUUUUGUCCUGUUAAUGGAUUGUAUCCUUUCAAUUCAACAUGGGCGCAUCUCAUUUGUCCAAAAUCUAUUUCCUUUUUCUUGUCUGGAUGAUUUUGCUCCCCAGAACUCUUUUGCAUAUUUCUGCUGUAUCCAUUUCCAAUUGGUGCAAUUAAACACGAGUGAGACGAAGAGUAUUAUGUUUAUAUUACGUAUCUAUUGAAAAAUGAUAUUUUAUUUUAGAGAUGAGUUUAUUUUGGCAUCUGCCUAGUUGUUUAUGACAUUACUUUUCAGGGUUGGGGUAACAAAUCAUGAGGAAUUGACUUGUCUCAUCAAAUGUAAUAGUUUGAUUUUCCAAGGAUAUCAACGGUCUAGUAGGAUGGCAGUUUUGUGCCAUCAUACUUCUCAUAUAAUUAUGAAAGACUCGAUAACUUCAUUAGCUGAAGUUCCAUGUAUUUGAUCAGUCUAUGGCAUUUCUUAUUUUCCCAUUAGCAUAUUCUAGAAUUGUAUUAAUCAUUAAAUUAUCCUAUUUGCAGGUAAAUCUUGUUGAUUGGCUG
rnacentral:misc_RNA from 1 species